CAUGCAAUAAGGCAAUUAACUACUUGUCCUUUAAAUUUAAUUUGAACAACACAAAAUAAGUAGUAGUACAGUAUAUCUUUGGAUUCCAUGCAUGCAUGCAUGCAUGCAUGUAUGUAUUGUAUGUAUUGUAUGUAGAUGGUAAUAAUAAAUGGUCUGCGCCGAUAAGUCAAAAACAUUGGGACAUAGCUUUCCUGUUGAGCUUUGCUUGCCUCGACAUUUGAGAGUUUAGAGUGGAGACACUGCCUCAGCUUUUUCAAAUGAACCAACACCGUUUCCUUUGCCCAUUAUGUAUCUUAAUGCAUACAUGCUAUAGUACU
rnacentral:lncRNA from 1 species